GCUGGGAAAGGUCAGUCAGUAGAGCAUGAGUCUCUUAAUCUCAGGUUUGUGGGUUCAAGCGCCACGUUGAGCA